rnacentral:rRNA from 1 species
CUACGGAGGCAGCAGUGGAGAUAUUGCGCAAUGGGCGCAAGCCUGACGCAGCCACGCCGCGUGGGGGAAGAAGGCCUUCGGGUUGUAAACCGCUUUCAGGAGGGAAGAGCGAAAGUGACGGUACCUGCAGAAAAAGGACCGGCUAACUACGUGCCAGCAGCCGCGUAA